CUGUAAGCCUGUGAAGGUGUACUGUGAGGUAUGCUGGAGGUAUCAGAAGUGCGAAUGCUGACAUAAGUAACGAUAAAGCGGGUGAAAAGCCCGCUCGCCGGAAGACCAAGGGUUCCUGUCCAACGUUAAUCGGGGCAGGGUGAGUCGACCCCUAAGGCGAGGCCGAAAGGCGUAGUCGAUGGGAAACAGGUUAAUAUUCCUGUACUUGGUGUUACUGCGAAGGGGGGACGGAGAAGGCUAUGUUGGCCGGGCGACGGUUGUCCCGGUUUAAGCGUGUAGGCUGGUUUUCCAGGCAAAUCCGGAAAAUCAAGGCUGAGGCGUGAUGACGAGGCACUACGGUGCUGAAGCAACAAAUGCCCUGCUUCCAGGAAAAGCCUCUAAGCAUCAGGUAACAUCAAAUCGUACCCCAAACCGACACAGGUGGUCAGGUAGAGAAUACCAAGGCGCUUGAGAGAACUCGGGUGAAGGAACUAGGCAAAAUGGUGCCGUAACUUCGGGAGAAGGCACGCUGAUAUGUAGGUGAAGUCCCUCGCGGAUGGAGCUGAAAUCAGUCGAAGAUACCAGCUGGCUGCAACUGUUUAUUAAAAACACAGCACUGUGCAAACACGAAAGUGGACGUAUACGGUGUGACGCCUGCCCGGUGCCGGAAGGUUAAUUGAUGGGGUUAGCGCAAGCGAAGCUCUUGAUCGAAGCCCCGGUAAACGGCGGCCGUAACUAUAACGGUCCUAAGGUAGCGAAAUUCCUUGUCGGGUAAGUUCCGACCUGCACGAAUGGCGUAAUGAUGGCCAGGCUGUCUCCACCCGAGACUCAGUGAAAUUGAACUCGCUGUGAAGAUGCAGUGUACCCGCGGCAAGACGGAAAGACCCCGUGAACCUUUACUAUAGCUUGACACUGAACAUUGAGCCUUGAUGUGUAGGAUAGGUGGGAGGCUUAGAAGUGUGGACGCCAGUCUGCAUGGAGCCGACCUUGAAAUACCACCCUUUAAUGUUUGAUGUUCUAACGUGGACCCGUAAUCCGGGUUGCGGACAGUGUCUGGUGGGUAGUUUGACUGGGGCGGUCUCCUCCUAAAGAGUAACGGAGGAGCACGAAGGUUGGCUAAUCCUGGUCGGACAUCAGGAGGUUAGUGCAAUGGCAUAAGCCAGCUUGACUGCGAGCGUGACGGCGCGAGCAGGUGCGAAAGCAGGUCAUAGUGAUCCGGUGGUUCUGAAUGGAAGGGCCAUCGCUCAACGGAUAAAAGGUACUCCGGGGAUAACAGGCUGAUACCGCCCAAGAGUUCAUAUCGACGGCGGUGUUUGGCACCUCGAUGUCGGCUCAUCACAUCCUGGGGCUGAAGUAGGUCCCAAGGGUAUGGCUGUUCGCCAUUUAAAGUGGUACGCGAGCUGGGUUUAGAACGUCGUGAGACAGUUCGGUCCCUAUCUGCCGUGGGCGCUGGAGAACUGAGGGGGGCUGCUCCUAGUACGAGAGGACCGGAGUGGACGCAUCACUGGUGUUCGGGUUGUCAUGCCAAUGGCACUGCCCGGUAGCUAAAUGCGGAAGAGAUAAGUGCUGAAAGCAUCUAAGCACGAAACUUGCC
rnacentral:rRNA from 1 species